CACCGCGGUCCAGCAGUGGGGGGCCCCGGGCUGGGCGAGGGGGCACAGGCUCGUGACCUCCAGGCUCCUCCUUCUGGGGAAAAGGGUGACCGCGUUCUCCAGCCACCCCUGCUUCCCUGGGAAACAGAUCCAGAGAGGGAGGAGGACCGGCCAAGGUCACACAGGAGUUUGGACCAGAGCUCCGGGAGCCCCCUGCCCUCGGCCCGGGGCCAUCCCGAAUCCCCAGGCGGGGCGGCUUCGGCGCCCACGUGGCCCAAGGCCCGGGCGAGAAUCCGACUCCCCCUUCCCCCUCAGAACCCAGCCCGAGGGCGGCGCCGUCCCGGGCGCAGGGAAGCGCCCCCCUCCGCCCGGGCCGAGCAGGACCUCAGCCUCGCGCGCCGGCGCCCCCACCCCAGGAAUUUAACCCCCUCCCUGCCGAGCGCCGCGCCACGGCGCCGCAUUCCUGGCCCGCGGGAACCCUGCAGUUGGGGACGCAAGGACGGGGGCGAGGCGAAGAUCCCCGCAGCCCCUCCCCCCGAGCCGGCAGGCCGUGCGCUCCUGGGGGCAGAGCUGGCAGGAAGUUCGUCCGGGAGUCUAACCUCGGUGCCCCCAGGCUGCGCCACGGAGGCGGGGCCCGGGUAGGAGGCCGCGGGGAAAUCGGAAAGCGGGGUGUUCCGGCCCCUGCAGCCUGCUGCGGAAAAGGCUUCCCGCCGGCCGCUCGGAGCGAGCGCAUCGCAAGGGACUGAACCCGGCCAUGCUCUCCACCCCAGUCCUCUGGCCUCCGCCGCUCUGACCUGGGGUGCACUUCCUCCUCUGACUCACCAUGGCUCCUGGCAUUGGCUUGCAAGGUGGUGAGGGAGGGACUCGGUGCCCAUUGGCUGGACAGGGACACUGAGGCCCAGAGCGGGACAGAUCACUCAGUCCGGCAUCGGCAUCAGGAGCCAGGGAAAAGGAAAUCUUGGCGAAAGAGAUGCCGCCUCCGAGGGCUGCCGGGAGCACUCCUGGGCCCACUUGCCAACAAAGCUGGCCGGUGAGACCAAGCCCAUCGACGGAAGAGCUCCCUGUGCAGAGCCCGAGCUCCCAGAAGCACCUGCCAUAGUGGAUCCAGCAGGAAGGAGCUGUUGGAGGCCCUCAUUCUAGUGGACCCUAGUGGGGCUGCUGGGAGCUCAGACCGGAAUGUUAACAUCAGCGAGAGCAGAGGGAGAGGAAGGCUCUCCGGGCAGACAGUGGCAGCUGCAUCGGCCAGGAGGUGAGGCUCUAUGGCACCUGCAGGGAACUGGAGGUGAUGGCAGGUAGAGCAGAGAUGGUGUCCCAGGGCCAGUGUGGUUGGUGGGAGUAGCCAGGAGACGGCAGAACUGCUAUUGGCGAGGGACACACAGUGGGAACUACACCUCUGGGGAGAUCCAGGCAGGGUUCCUUGAGGGGCAGAUGGGAUUGGGAGGGUUUUCUAGGCCAGAGCUGCCUGCCCCAGAGUGAGUCAGGAGUUUGUCAAGGUACUGCCCUGGCAAGGCGGAGCUCACUGAUCCUUGGGACACUCGGGACUGGGGGCUGGCCAGGUCUGCUCCUGCCCCUGGAGGCCAGCUGUUUUUUUCCCCCCACAACUUUCUGGUCUGUUUAGCUCCACGGACCCACACUGUGCUGAGGGUGUCCCCCGACUGGGGAAGUGAGAUUCACCUCCACUGAACCUGGAAAGAGCAGAGCAGACAGGUGUGUGUCAGGCAGAGCACGGGGCAGGACCCGGCUUCCCUGGGGGCCAUGGAGCUGUGUGUAACUGAGCUGGGGGAGGAAGAGAGCAGCAGGUACAGGGCCAGGCAGCUCCCCCAGCGUGGGGUCCACAGCCACCCAGUAGGUGCUGACGCGGCUCCCUGUGGAGAGAGAGAGCACAGAUCUGCUGGGUGCGGGUUGCGGCGGGAGUGGGCAUUGCAGCUGCGUGCGUCCUGCCUCUGCUAAGCCCAGCACUAAUAGACUGCAGCUGCCCUUGGGUGGGGGCCUAAUGCAAACCAGCAGGUUGCCUGGUUCCCUCUCCCAGUGCAAAAAAGUCUUGGCAUUGGAGGCCUCCCUGGCAGCUUCUAGGAUCUGCUCCCACCCUGUUGGUUCAAUGGACCCUGGGCCCCUCACUAGUGACUGAGCCUGGCCCUCCACAUGAAUCCUGGGGGGCUCCUUUCCUCCUCCUAGGGGCCACCACCCCAAACUACUCUGCCAUGUUUGGUUCUAAGCACUAAAUCCACCAUGCUUCCAGGAGGGAGGAGUCCCUAGCACCCCGCGUUUCAGAUGAGGGGCUCAGUUAUAGAGAGGUUAAGCAAAUUGCCUUACUCUUGUUACCCAACUGGGACGUAGCAGGGUCAACUUGAACCCAAGCAGUCUGGCUGUGGCCCUCUGCCCAAAAGUCUUAUUUUUUCCAAAGUAAAAUCAAAUUAGGCAGGGGACAAGGUCAGCGGGUCUUUGUUGGGAUGCCUUUGGGCACCUGGCCUGUAACAGAUUUUAGUUGCCAGACGCCCUGAGGCUGGGCCAGGCCCUCUGGGAGGUAGCCUCAUCUCUAGGCUGGUCUUGGAAGGGAUGGGCACCCAGGGUCAUCUAUCUUAUCUGGUUGCCCCAGUCACAUGUGCCUCCUUGCUGGGCCAGUGAGCUAAGUGGACAGUCUGACUUACUGGCCACACUGGAGCAUGGCGGGCACAAUGUGUCCACUCUAUUGUACGCUGAUGGCCUCGUGGAUCUAGGAUGGCUGCAGAUGACCCCUCUCUGGGCUAGCCUGGGUUCUGCAGCUGUGAAUGCAGCUCAGCAAAUGAAGCUGGAGCUUUGAAGGACUAUGUGGAUGGUGCAUAGUGAGGCUGGGGUCUCCAGGAGGCCCAAGUGCUUGUCCACAGCCCCAGACUUGGCGCCCACCAGGGGCCUUCCGUCUCGGGGAGCACAGCCUCUGCCUUGCACCGAGCCCUUGCAAGACUGGUGUGCACACGGCACACAGGUGUGUGAACACGUGUUCUCUCCGGGCCCAGCACUCCCACAGCUCUCUCCUUUCCCUGGGCGGCAGCAGAAGCGAUUCCUUGUGCUAUAGUCCGGUCCUCUCUGCCUUGGGAGGGGUGGCCGAACCCUGGCUGCUCCCAGUGGCAAGGCCAUCUUCAGUCUCUUGCAAGGGUGUUUUCCUUAACUAUUAUUUCCUCCAUAAUGCCUAGAUCAUUCACCAAAGUCAAGACCACGGCCCCUGACACAUUGCAUUCGGUAUUGCCCCAGCUCAUCAGUAUCACAAUAAUGCUCAGGAUCCUAGCACUCACUGGGAAAUAAGGAACUUCAUCAGGGGAUUUCCUCAUGGCAAAGACUGGCGUCAUCUUAGAGUCUAUAUGUUAAGGGCCAGCGCUGUGCAGUAGUCUAAGCCUCCGCCUGUGGUGCUGGCAUCCCAUAUGGGUGCCGGUUCAUAAAUUUUAAAAAAAAGUUAAAAUUGUAUUUUUUAAGACUGAUUUACUUGAAAGGCAGAGCAAGAGAUACAUUCCAUCUGCUGGUUCACUCCUCAAAUGGCCACAAUGGCUCAGGUUGAAGCCAAGAGCCCAGAACUCCAUCCUGGCUUUCCAGGUGAUAUGGGCCCACAUACUUGGGCCAUCAUCUACUGCCUUCCCAGGCAAGUUAGCAGGAAGCUGGAUUGGAAGAGGAACAGCCGGGCCUUGAACCAGCACUCUGAUAUAGGAUGCCAGUGUUGCAAGCGAUGGCUUAAUCCACUGUGCCACAAAACCAGCCCUGGCUGCGUUCACUAAGAGAAGACACACUCCUUUGAGCCCAAGGAGACAAAAGUUCACUGUAUUUGCUCGGCAAGCUCUCAUGUGCAUGCUAAAAAUACCGCCCCAGUGUUGUCUCUGGGGUGAGUGACGUGUGCCUGGUGAGGUGCCAUCAGGCGUGGAAGAGGAGCCUGGCAAAUUAAUUGACUGUCCCUCGGCAGCAGCUCACAGAUGGGAAGGGACCUGGUCCUCCCUCAAGAGAAACCUGGAUGCAGGUCACAUCAGCAGGUGCCAACAAAGCCUGCAGGAAAGCUGGUGCCCAGGGGCAGGAGGCCCAGGCGCCAUUAGUGCUCAUCGUGUAGGCUCCCAGCCCUGCCUUCCCCCGCCACUGACACUGAGCUAGACAGGAGGCCUCUCCAUGGGCUGGGUCGGCAAAGAACCCUAUGUGGGUUCUGCCGCUUCAAAAAGACUAUUCGAAGUGUGGAUGAUUAAAGAAAAAUGAAACAUGCAAAGAGUUGGACCAAAUACUUUAAUUUCUACAAGGUCCCCUUUCAAGUCUUGGGGAAGCUGAAGUGAAGUGUAUACAAAGUAGACAUUGCUAAUAUGUACGAAAGUAUUUUCUAGUUUUCGAACAAUACCGGCUAUUUCAUCAGUAAACAGGACAUUACAAAAACAGUCCAAUAAUGCAUUUUCUAUUAAGCACAAUACACAACAUAAUUCAGUUUUAUUAAAAAAUAACUUCACAAUGCAGAACAAUCGCCUUUUGGAAGAAGCUGUUCCUGCAGUUCAUGUCAGUCAACACAAGUGGCCGCUGCAGCUGAGGGCCAGCCUUCCCCGCUGCAGAAACAAAGAGGCUUCCAGGGCCGUCCUUUUCAGGGUGAGGUCCCAGGACAGCCGAGAUGAGCACAGGUAGUUACUGCCUGUGGAGAAUUCUGCAGUUUUCCCUCACCCGCCCACGCACUAAUCCCCAGAACCUAUGAGAAUGAUGAGCUCUCUUUCCCGCAAUUACGUUCUGUUCUAUGGCACGACUGACCUCUGUGGGUUUGAUCUAAUGGCAUGGACCCUGAAAACAGAGAGGGAAGGGAUCUGCCGCAUGAGAAAGAGCAGGGCUGGAGGGGAGCCCUCCAGCAGGGAUGCAGGCAGCUUUGAGGGGCCCAGAACCGCCCCGCACCCCAACUUCCAGCCAGCAGAGAACUAAGUUCUGCCAGCGACCUGAAUGAGUCCGGAAACCGAUCCUUGCCCAGUGCCUCCAUAAAGGAAUGCUACCCGCCAACCCUGGAUUUCCACCCUGUGGGACCCUGAGCAGAGGGACUCCAGCCAUCCCAUGCCAGACCCAAGAGCUACACAACUGGGAGCUAAUAAAUGGGUGGUGUUCUGAACUGUUGCACUUUGGGUAAUUCCUCACAGAGCAACAAAAAGCUAAUGCACUGCCCAGGGGUAACGUAGCUAACCUGAUUAGAUUCGGCGUGUUCUGUUUGGGUUCUCAACACC